rnacentral:rRNA from 1 species
AUACGAAAGGUGCAAGCGUUGUUCGGAUUUACAGGGCGUAAAGAGAGUGUAGGUUGUUUAUUAAGUCGGAUGUGAAAUCCCGGGGCUCAACCUCGGAACUGCAUUCGAUACUGAUAGGCUAGAGUUUGGGAGGGGUAAGCGGAAUUCCGUGUGUAGCAGUGAAAUGCGUAGAUAUACGGAGGAACACCUGAGGCGAAGGCGGCUUACUGGACCAAUACUGACACUGAGACUCGAAAGCGUGGGUAGCAAACAGGAUUAGAAACCCCGGUAGUCC